rnacentral:rRNA from 1 species
CUAUACAUGCAGUCGAGCGAACGGACGAGAGUGCUUGCACUCUCUGAUGUUAGCGGCGGACGGGUGAGUAACACGUGGGUAACCUACCUAUAAGACCGGGAUAACUUCGGGAAACCGGAGCUAAUACCGGAUAAUAUUUAGCUUCGCAUGAAGCAAUAGUGAAAGACGGUUCUGCUGUCACUUAUAGAUGGACCCGCGGUGUAUUAGCUAGUUGGUGAGGUAACGGCUCACCAAGGCAACGAUACAUAGCCGACCUGAGAGGGUGAUCGGCCACACUGGGACUGAGACACGGCCCAGACUCCUACGGGAGGCAGCAGUAGGGAAUCUUCCGCAAUGGACGAAAGUCUGACGGAGCAACGCCGCGUGAGUGAAGAAGGUUUUCGGAUCGUAAAACUCUGUUGUAAGGGAAGAACAAGUACGUUAGUAACUGAACGUACCUUGACGGUACCUUACCAGAAAGCCACGGCUAACUACGUGCCAGCAGCCGCGGUAAUACGUAGGUGGCAAGCGUUAUCCGGAAUUAUUGGGCGUAAAGCGCGCGUAGGCGGUCUCUUAAGUCUGAUGUGAAAGCCCCCGGCUCAACCGGGGAGGGUCAUUGGAAACUGGGAGACUUGAGUGCAGAAGAGGAGAGUGGGAUUCCAUGUGUAGCGGUGAAAUGCGCAGAGAUAUGGAGGAACACCAGUGGCGAAGGCGGCUCUCUGGUCUGUAACUGACGCUGAGGUGCGAAAGCGUGGGGAUCAAACAGGAUUAGAUACCCUGGUAGUCCACGCCGUACACGAUGAGUGCUAAGUGUUGGG